UAAUAAAACACAGUAAAGUUUUACCUCUUUUUAAAUCUGGCAGUAAGUCGGACCCAUCUAAUUUUCGACCUAUAUCUAUCUUACCCACAUUAAGUAAAAUUUAUGAAAAGAUAAUACAGAAAAUUGCUAGCACUCUUCAAUAAAAA